rnacentral:rRNA from 1 species
UGGGGAAUAUUGCACAAUGGGGGAAACCCUGAUGCAGCGACGCCGCGUGAACGAAGAAGGUAUUCGUAUCGUAAAGUUCUGUCCUAUGGGAAGAUAAUGACAGUACCAUAGAAGAAAGCUCCGGCUAAAUACGUGCCAGCAGCCGCGGUAAUACGUAUGGAGCGAGCGUUGUCCGGAAUGAUUGGGCGUAAAGGGUACGCAGGCGGUUUAAUAAGUCGAAUGUUAAAGAUCGGGGCUCAACCCCGCAAAGCAUUGGAAACUGAUAAACUUGAGUAGUGGAGAGGAAAGUGGAAUUCCUAGUGUAGUGGUGAAAUGCGUAGAUAUUAGGAGGAAUACCAGUAGCGAAGGCGACUUUCUGGACACAAACUGACGCUGAGGUACGAAAGCGUGGGGAGCAAACAGG